rnacentral:rRNA from 1 species
UACGGAGGGAGCUAGCGUUGUUCGGAUAUACUGGGCGUAAAGCGCACGUAGGCGGCGCCGUAAGUCAGGGGUGAAAUCCCGGAGCUCAACUCCGGAACUGCCCUUGAAACUGCAGUGCUAGAAUCCUGGAGAGGCGAGUGGAAUUCCGAGUGUAGAGGUGAAAUUCGUAGAUAUUCGGAAGAACACCAGUGGCGAACGCGACUCGCUGGACAGGUAUUGACGCUGAGGAGCGAAAGCUAGGGGAGCAAACGGG